CCGACGGUGAGGGACGAAUGCUGGGGGCGCAAACCGGAUUAGAUACCCGGGUAGUCCCAGCAGUAAACGAUGCCAGCUAUGUGUUGCUGGAACCAUGGGUUCCAGCAGUGCCGAAGGGAAGCCGUGAAGCUGGCCACCUGGGAAGUACGGUCGCAAGGCUGAAACUUAAAGGAAUUGGCGGGGGAGUACCACAACCGGUGGAGCCUGCGGUUUAAUUGGAUACAACGCCGGGAAUCUUACCGGAGGGGACAGCAGUAUGAAGGCCAGGCUAAAGACCUUGCCAGAUCAGCUGAGAGGAGGUGCAUGGCCGUCGCCAGUUCGUACCGUGAGGCAUCCUGUUUAGUCAGGCAACGAUCGAGACCCGCAGUCUUAUUUGCCAGCAUGCCCUUUGGGGUGUAUGGGUACAAUAAGACGACCGCCAGCGCUAAGCUGGAGGAAGGAGCGGGCUACGGUAGGUCAGCAUGCCCCGAAUCCUCCGGGAUACACGCGGGCUACAAUGGUCAGGACAAAAGGUACCGACCUCGAAAGAGUGAGGUAAUCCACAAACCUGAUCUCAGUCCGGAUCGAAGGCUGCAACUCGCCUUCGUGGAAGAUGGAAUCGGUAGUAAUCG
rnacentral:rRNA from 1 species